rnacentral:rRNA from 1 species
AACGGCGAGUGAAGCGGCAACAGCUCAAAUUUGAAAUCUUGGCCCUCGGGUCCGAGUUGUAAUUUGUAGAGGAUGCUUUUGGUGCGGUGCCUUCCGAGUUCCCUGGAACGGGACGCCAUAGAGGGUGAGAGCCCCGUCUGGUUGGAUACCAAUCCUCUGUAAAGCUCCUUCGACGAGUCGAGUAGUUUGGGAAUGCUGCUCUAAAUGGGAGGUAUAUGUCUUCUAAAGCUAAAUACCGGCCAGAGACCGAUAGCGCACAAGUAGAGUGAUCGAAAGAUGAAAAGCACUUUGAAAAGAGGGUUAAACAGUACGUGAAAUUGUUGAAAGGGAAGCGCUUGUGACCAGACUUGGGCAUGGUUAAUCAUCCAGCGUUCUCGCUGGUGCACUUGGCCUGCCCAGGCCAGCAUCAGUUCGGUGCGGGGGAUAAAGGCUUCGGGAAUGUGGCUCCUCCGGGAGUGUUAUAGCCCGUUGUGCAAUACCCUGCGCUGGACUGAGGUUCGCGCAUCUGCAUGGAUGCUGGCGUAAUGGUCAUCAGCGACCCGUCUUGAAACACGGACCAAGGAGUCGUCCUCGUAUGCGAGUGUUCGGGUGUUAAACCCCUACGCGUAAUGAAAGUGAACGCAGGUGAGAGCUUCGGCGCAUCAUCGACCGAUCCUGAUGUUCUCGGAUGGAUUUGAGUAAGAGCAUACGGGGCCGGACCCGAAAGAAGGUGAACUAUGCCUGUAUAGGGUGAAGCCAGAGGAAACUCUGGUGGAGGCUCGCAGCGGUUCUGACGUGCAAAUCGAUCGUCAAAUAUGGGCAUGGGGGCGAAAGACUAAUCGAAC